GGGUCAGGAGGUAGCGUCACUAUCAUGAGUUAAGAUAUAUUGAUCAGAUAUAUCUAGGACCAAUGAUAGCUAUGGUGGUGGUCUAAAGUCUUCAAUUUGCUUAGAAUAUUGUGGUUCCCACACUAUGCUGCAACUGGCGGUUGCAGUGGUGGUGGGAUGGGCGAUGGCCGCUGUAUAUAUCACUAUGAGCGCAACCAUUUGACAAAUGGUUACGGAGACCCGUAUCUGAGGAUAGAAACGCCAAACAGAAACACCCAUAUCCCUAUUCAAAUAGUGAUAUUCUUGGAACAACGAAUCCAGCCCACCUCUGGUAGCUAGAUAUCAGGAACGGAAAUGAUCGCGAGAACCUGAGGAUCCGCUCCACCUCCCCAACAAGCAACCGCGGACAACUCUUGCAACUGCUGCUGUUGAGAGCUCUGCUGUUGAAGUCACACCCGACCAAGAGUUACUAAACCGCGUCUACAAGAACAACAUUAAUCCAAUUGACUAUUGGAUUCAGCAAGGACAUUGGCCCAAAAAAUAUUUCAGGCAGGGCAACAUGAAUUCCCUGCUUGCAAGGAAGAAGUCGUCUUCCUUUCACCACAAGCAAUCAGAAUCUGGCUCUGUCUCCAUACCCAGUGAUCAAAAACCAAGGGACGAAAAGAGGGCUCCAUACAGGAGUCCGCGUGAUCAAACUCUACUUGAAUCUAAAGGCAGCUUUAUGAAAACAGCGCGCGUUGGAAUCA
rnacentral:sRNA from 1 species